rnacentral:rRNA from 1 species
ACGUAGGGGGCGAGCGUUAUCCGGAAUUAUUGAGCAUAAAGAGUGCGUAGGUGGUUCUUUCACCGUGAGGUGAAGGGCAAAAGUUCAACUAUUUUAGGCCUGGCGAACUGGGGGACUUGAGUGAGGGAAAGGAAAGCGGAAUUCCUAGGGUAGUGGUAAAAUGCGUAUAUAUGAGGAGGAACACCAGUGGCGAAGGCAGCUUUCUGGACUGUAACUGACACUGAGGCACGAAAGCGUGGGGAGCAUACAG